UACGUAGGGGGCAAGCGUUGUCCGGAAUUAUUGGGCGUAAAGAGCGCGUAGGCGGUCCGAUAAGUCGGCUGUGAAAGUCAGGGGCUCAACCCUUGGAAGCCGGCCGAUACUGUCGGACUAGAGUCCGGAAGAGGCGAGUGGAAUUCCCGGUGUAGCGGUGAAAUGCGCAGAUAUCGGGAAGAACACCCGUGGCGAAGGCGGCUCUCUGGGACGGUACUGACGCUGAGACGCGAAAAGCGUGGGGGAGCGAACAGG
rnacentral:rRNA from 1 species